UAAUCAAUUUUUAGGGCAAUUCCUAUGAAAUUGUUGAUACAAUAAAGUAGAAUGAAACGUUCGCAUGUAUAAAAGGCAGGGGUUUUGUUCACAAAAUGUUACAACGCCUUCUGUAACUAUGUCGAACCGUUCGUUACAAAAUCCAAUUAGAAAUUCUAAUGAUCUUUGCCGUGCAUUGAAACAAGCAACUUGUACUCAAUGAUGGUUCAUUUAGUUAGAAAUGUCUCUGACAACGAACCGAUCCUAGAUAAUGUCAGGUCAUUACAGAUAAGAACAUAAACCUGGCACAUCACUUGAUUACUCUCUUCAUUAAAGAAUUCACAUUUAAAAAAAUAAUAAUAACAUUAAUAAAACAAUGCAUUGAUUUAAACGGGUGAGGAAUCGAAGAUUGACAUAAAGUAAAGGAAAAAAAAAAAAAGAAAGAAUCUCUCUCUCUCCCUGCUGCGCUGUUUUCAUUAAGUUUGCA